UACGUAGGGGGCAAGCGUUGUCCGGAUUUAUUGGGCGUAAAGAGCGUGUAGGCGGCUUUACAGGUCCGUUGUGAAAACUCGAGGCUCAACCUCGAGACGCCGGUGGAAACCGUAAAGCUAGAGUCCGGAAGAGGAGAGUGGAAUUCCUGGUGUAGCGGUGAAAUGCGCAGAUAUCAGGAGGAACACCGAUGGCGAAGGCAGGUCUCUGGGCCAUAACUGACGCUGAGAAGCGAAAGCAUGGGGAGCGAACAGG
rnacentral:rRNA from 1 species